CCACAGUUGUGAUAAUUCUGAUGCACGAUCAAGUGAAACAGUUACCACAUCUCAAUAAUCAAACAUUGACAAACAAAGCAUAUGAUACUCCUAUUCAUUGGCAUAGCUUGAGGCCGAGGAACUUAACGAAAGCAAGUAGAAUGGUGCACACUAUUAGAGGAACAUAUGCGGUAAAUGGUAAUAUUCAGCGGAACAUAUGAGAAACAUUACUUUUAGCUUUCCUUCUUUUUGUCAAAGAGCAAAUUGAUGGAAUAUGUGUUGCCUUUCUGUGCACCAACUUCCACACGUUUCUCACCGAUCUUGUCCAUAAGCCAAUAGCCAACCGAUGGCAUAUACUGCAUCAAGUACAUAACAGCAAGUACAGGCUGGUAAGAAAUCCAAGCUUCCUUGAUACCAUGGCUGGCAGCAACAAUUAUCAGUUCCGCACACCUUUCUGAUGAAACACGCCGCUCGGUUGAACCAGUUCUUGGAUUGGGAGUUUCUACAGGACCUGGGCAAACUACAGUAACCUUGAUUCCUUUACGACAGAGCUCAGAACGCAAGGAGUGGAAAUACCCAUUUACUGCAAAUUUAGAAGCCGAGUAUACCGCCUGACCUGGUGCUGGAGUCUUUCCAGCUGCACUGCUCAUCACAACAAGAUGUCCUCUUCCCCGCUUCAGCAUGUAAGGCACAAGCAUCCGCGUCAUUGAUAUGGGGCCCACGACAUUCACAUUUAACAUUGCCUUGAGAGUUUCUUCUGUCACAUCCAGUGCUGUAGAUUUUGGACGCUCAUAGGCUGCAUUGUGAAUCAUAUAAUCCACUCCAGCUGCAUCAAAAAAUGAUUCCGCUUUCUCUACAGCCAAUCUCAGACUUUCCUCCCCAGAUGUCAAGUCCAAUGGUAAAACCAUCACAUCUCUUGGUGCAUAUUUUCCUUUAAGUUGUUGCUUCACAUGCUGUAGCUCAGCUUCAUUUCGAGCAGAUAUAAUGAGUUUUGCUCCUAAACUUGCAAGUUGUUUGGCAAGAAUUUCCCCUAUUCCACGACUAGCUCCAGUAAUCCAAAUAACCUUAUCUUCAAUUUCUGCGCGUUUCACUUUCCCUUUUGACAAUAACGUGAAAUCCCCAUCAGCAGUAAGGAACUUG
rnacentral:misc_RNA from 1 species